GACAAACGCUGGCGGCGUGCAUAAAACAUGCAAGUCGGACGAGCCAAUCCCCGCAAGGGGAAAGGCUAGUGGCGAACGGCUGAGUAACACGUAGGUGAUCUGCCCUGAAGUGGGGGAUAACGACUCGAAAGAGUCGCUAAUACCGCAUGUGACCAUCGAUUCGUUUUCGAUGCUCAAAGUCGUAAGACGCUUUAGGAGGAGCCCGCGGCGGAUUAGCUAGUUGGUGAGGUAANGGCCCACCAAGGCUUCGAUCCGUAGCUGGUCUGAGAGGAUGACCAGCCAGACUGGGACUGAGACACGGCCCAGACUCCUACGGGAGGCAGCAGUUAGGAAUUUUGCGCAAUGGGGGAAACCCUGACGCAGCCACGCCGCGUGCGGGAUGAAGGCCUCGGUCGUAACCGACCUUCUCGAGGAAGACACCCGACCGGUACUCGAGGCAUAAGCAACGGCUAACUACGUGCCAGC
rnacentral:rRNA from 1 species